UACGUAGGGCGCAAGCGUUAUCCGGAAUUAUUGGGCGUAAAGAGCUCGUAGGCGGUCUGUUGCGUCGGGAGUGAAAACUCAGGGCUUAACCCUGAGCCUGCUUCCGAUACGGGCAGACUAGAGGUACGCAGGGGAGAACGGAAUUCCUGGUGUAGCGGUGAAAUGCGCAGAUAUCAGGAGGAACACCGGUGGCGAAGGCGGCGAGCUGGUCCAUUACUGACGCUGAGGCGCGACAGCGUGGGGAGCAAACAGG
rnacentral:rRNA from 1 species